rnacentral:ncRNA from 1 species
UGCCGCGGUGAAUACGUUCCCGGGUCUUGUACACACCGCCCGUCACACCACGAGAGUUUACAACACCCGAAGCCGGUGGGGUAACCGCAAGGAGCCAGCCGUCGAAGGUGGGGUAGAUGAUUGGGGUGAAGUCGUAACAAGGUAGCCGUAUCGGAAGGUGCGGCUGGAUCACCUCCUUU